GUCGAUGACCUGGUGGAUUCCCUGAAGUUCGCAGUGUUGAUGUGGGUGUUCACCUAUGUCGGUGCCUUGUUCAAUGGUCUGACACUGCUGAUCCUGGCUUUGAUUUCGCUCUUCAGUGUUCCUGUUAUUUAUGAGAGACAUCAGGCCCAAAUCGACCAUUACUUGGGACUCGUGAACAAGAAUGUCAAAGAUGCCAUGGCAAAGAUCCAAGCAAAGAUCCCUGGGUUGAAGCGCAAAACUGAAUAAAAAAGCCCGAAGCAACUUAUCUAUAGGAAGUUCAUCUUUUAAGGGGGAAAAAUACUCAUUGGAUUUCCACGGGGAGGGUCAGGGAAUAGCAAACCCCUUGACAUUGCAGUGCAAUUUCACAGAUCUUUAUUUUUUAGCGACGCAGUGUUUGAGGACAAAAAAAAAAAAUAACUGUUUUGACUGCCAUGUGUUUCAUCAUGUUAAGUAUUGUAAGCUGCUAUGUAUGGAUCUAAACUAAUCAUCUUUCCUUCCCCUGUGCAGCUCUGCUCAUGCCACGACCGAGAGCUGUACAUGCUUCACCCAGGUAGUUGUGCUGCAGCCGGAGGGGAGAGCAGGGGGGGCAGAGAACAAACAAACACUUCCCAGUCUGUGCACUGUGUAUGGUCUGUGUAGAUUGAUGCAGAUUUUCUAAAAUGAGAUGUUUUAGGAGAAUAUACCAGUUUAGCAAGUUUUGAAAAAUCUUGCCUUUUUGGUAUGAGUAUAGCUGUAUUGUGAUUUUAUUGUUUUAUCAAUUGCCAAUAUAUAUAUAUAUAUAUGUGUUUCACAAAGCUUAGAUCUUUCAGCUGCUCCACAGUGCUUUGUACUUCAGAGUACUGGCUGAGGCCUCGGCGAGCUCCGAGCUCGAGCCCGACAAACUCCACGGUCUCUGUAAACACCGGCAUCUGUUGGCAACAACAGCAGAGAACCGAACAAAGAACCUGCACCUAGAGUAACAGAGAAUUCCAGCUGCACACUUUGUUGCACAAAUGUACAGUAGUCGAUCCUGAGCAAGUAAUUCUCCGGCUCUCAGACUCUGAUAAUCUGUGGACCGAGUAUCUAAUGCUGCAAAUGUUGUUUGGAAAAUGAAAGGCCUGUCCUGCCGUGCGAGACCCGAGCGGUGCAGGUCGAUCCCCUUGCAGUGUGAGCUGUACUGAGCUAAGUCUGUGGAAUGCAUUGUGAGCUGUACCAACCACCAGGAACGCGCAGCCCCCGCCCCAGCACCCCGAGUGUCAAUAAAGCUUCUAGACAGA